AUUCCAGCUCCAAUAGCGUAUACUAAAGUUGUUGCAGUUAAAAAGCUCGUAGUUGGAUUUCUGGUGCAUUCCACUGGCCUAUUGGUUAACUCCAACUUGGCUCAUUUGGAAUACGCCAUCUUUAGGCAGACCCGUCGUGGCAUUAGGUUGUCGUGAUGGUUACGCCUAUCGUUUACUGUGAAGAAAUUAGGGUGUUCAAAGCAGGCUUAUGCCAUGAAUACGUUAGCAUGGAAUAAUGAGAUAGGAUUUCGGUACUAUUUUGUUGGUUUGUGUACGGAAAUAAUGAUUAACAGGAACAGUGUUGUGGGUAUUCGUAUUUCGUUGUCAGAGGUGAAAUUCUUGGAUUUACGAAAGACGAACGACUGCGAAAGCAUUUACCAAGGAUGUUUUCAUUG
rnacentral:rRNA from 1 species